UCGAACCUAUAAAAUAGACCGCGAACAUGUUUAUAACAACGGGGCCGUUGCAUGGGGGAUGCCCCUCAUCUCGGCUCCUUUCCCGCGGGUUGGUGUGCAAGCACCCGCCCGUGGGCUAACGAACCCCCGGCGCGGCAUGCGCCAAGGAAAACUCAACAAAAGCGUCUCGCUCCCUGAUUCCCCGUUCGCGGUGCGCUUUAGGGGGACGAGGCGUCUCUUGAAUGUCAUAACGACUCUCGGCAACGGAUAUCUCGGCUCUCGCAUCGAUGAAGAACGUAGCGAAAUGCGAUACUUGGUGUGAAUUGCAGAAUCCCGUGAACCAUCGAGUCUUUGAACGCAAGUUGCGCCCGAAGCCUUUAGGCCGAGGGCACGUCUGCCUGGGCGUCACGCAUCGCGUCGCCCCCUCACACUCUUCGGAGUCGACGUGUGGGGGCGGUAUUGGCCUCCCGUGCGCAUGUCCGUGCGGCUGGCCCAAAUGCGAUCCCGCAGCGACGCAUGUCACAACCAGUGGUGGAAGAAUAUUCGUUCUUGCGUGCUGUUGYGACUCCAACGGCGUCAUGUGCUCGGGCAUCACAAUCGACCCAACUGUGCGUUAACUCGCGCUUUCGACCGCGACCCCAGGUCA
rnacentral:rRNA from 1 species